UACGGAGGGUGCAAGCGUUGUUCGGAUUUAUUGGGCGUAAAGCGCGCGUAGGCGGCUUUGCAAGUCGGGUGUGAAAUCCCCAGGCUUAACCUGGGAACUGCAUUCGAGACUGCAUUGCUAGAGUAUGGGAGAGGGAAGUGGAAUUUCCGGUGUAGCGGUGAAAUGCGUAGAUAUCGGAAGGAACAUCAGUGGCGAAAGCGACUUCCUGGACCAAUACUGACGCUCAUGUGCGAAAGCGUGGGAGCAAACAGGG
rnacentral:rRNA from 1 species